rnacentral:rRNA from 1 species
UCCUACGGGCGGCUGCAGUGGGGAAUCUUAGACAAUGGGGGAAACCCUGAUCUAGCCAUGCCGCGUGAGCGAUGAAGGCCUUAGGGUUGUAAAGCUCUUUCAGAUGGGAAGAUAAUGACGGUACCAUCAGAAGAAGCCCCGGCUAACUCCGUGCCAGCAGCCGCGGUAAUACGGAGGGGGCUAGCGUUGUUCGGAAUUACUGGGCGUAAAGCGCGCGUAGGCGGACUGGAAAGUUGGGGGUGAAAUCCCGGGGCUCAACCUCGGAACUGCCUUCAAAACUAUCAGUCUGGAGUUCGAGAGAGGUGAGUGGAAUUCCGAGUGUAGAGGUGAAAUUCGUAGAUAUUCGGAGGAACACCAGUGGCGAAGGCGGCUCACUGGCUCGAUACUGACGCUGAGGUGCGAAAGCGUGGGGAGCAAACAGGAUUAGAUACCCCAGUAGUC